rnacentral:rRNA from 1 species
GACGAACGCUGGCGGCGUGCUUAACACAUGCAAGUCGAACGGAAAGGCCCUUCGGGGUACUCGAGUGGCGAACGGGUGAGUAACACGUGGGUGAUCUGCCCUGCACUUUGGGAUAAGCCUGGGAAACUGGGUCUAAUACCGAAUAGGACCACGCGCUUCAUGGUGUGUGGUGGAAAGCUUUUGCGGUGUGGGAUGGGCCCGCGGCCUAUCAGCUUGUUGGUGGGGUAAUGGCCUACCAAGGCGACGACGGGUAGCCGGCCUGAGAGGGUGACCGGCCACACUGGGACUGAGAUACGGCCCAGACGCCUACGGGAGGCAGCAGUGGGGAAUAUUGCACAAUGGGCGCAAGCCUGAUGCAGCGACGCCGCGUGAGGGAUGACGGCCUUCGGGUUGUAAACCUCUUUCAAUAGGGACGAAGCGCAAGUGACGGUACCUAUAGAAGAAGCACCGGCCAACUACGUG